UACGUAGGGUGCGAGCGUUAAUCGGAAUUACUGGGCGUAAAGCGUGCGCAGGCGGUUUUGUAAGUCUGUCGUGAAAUCCCCGGGCUCAACCUGGGAACUGCAUUUGUGACUGCAUGGCUAGAGUACGGUAGAGGGGGAUGGAAUUCCGCGUGUAGCAGUGAAAUGCGUAGAUAUGCGGAGGAACACCGAUGGCGAAGGCAAUCCCCUGGGCCUGCACUGACGCUCAUGCACGAAAGCGUGGGGAGCAAACAGG
rnacentral:rRNA from 1 species